UCCUUUUUAAAUCAAUCAGCCCCAUAAAAAUUGGGCCACCAGCCCAAAAUGACACCCUUUUCUCUUCUCCCUUGACCUAACCCAUCAGCCCAACAAGCUGAAACUGAACCGACCCAUACUUCUUUUUCCUCUUUUCCCCCUUUACCCAUUCCAAUCCAACACCAGUAGCCAACAACACUCCAAAACGUGAUCACAAACAUCGACAACUCCAACGUUAACAACAUCCAACAACACUUCUUGCAAGCAAUGUACAAACAUCAACAACAAAACAGCGACGGUACCACCUCCAACCUGUCGACAACGACGAACCCGGUGACCCAAAAUCUGAACCCGACGAGUCAGCAAUCAAUGACCCAACUAGCUUAACCAGAAACACCAACAAUCCCAACCACCCGUCCAACUCAGCAAUAACGUUCAGAUUCUGUACAAAUUCCAGCUCAUCUUAUCUCAAUUUUGAAAUUCAAAUUUUUAACUCUUUUUCCCUUUUUACCCCUAUGUUUCCCCCUAAAAUCGGUCUCAAAUCUCCUAUAAAUAUCUGUUGAAGAACAAGAGAAAGGAGGAGGAUUCUUUGGGAAAAAAUUAGGGAUUCGGGAGGAGCAUUCCUCUAAUUCCAUGUAACCAAAGAAUUCGAGAAGAAACAUAUUUGGAAAAUCGAUUCUGAGGAAAGAAAAAAAAAAGAAGAAAAGUGGAAAUUCCAACAAAAAUUACUUCGGAUUCCGGCGAAACUAUUGAAUUCCAGCGAAAUUAAUUAAACUCCGGUGUUGAAAGUCCAUUUUAAAGAGCUCGUCCGUCUCAGUUCCUACCCCAGAAAAGACUCCCCAUUCCUUCGCAUUCAAUGUCCGUCGAGUCGAGCCUGAUUAAAGUCCAAAUUUGGACUGAUAUACACAGGAUCGCACAUACUUGUGGUGGGGCCCUUCCCCGGACACCGCACAUAGCGGUAGCUUUAGUGCACCGGGCUGCCCUUAUACACAGGAUCGCACAAGUAUGCAAGCUGGUAUACGCUGAUAUACAGCACGUAUACACUGAAAGCCGUAACGGCAAACCAUUAUACAGUGUACAAUGAAAAUUGGAGAGGGAAUGUGCUGAUUUUUACGUUGAUAUGCAGUAUAUACAUGGAAAUAUACAGAAAAAUGCAAGGGUGAAGGGCUGUGAUACACAGUCAGUAUACAGUUGGGUAUACACUGCAGAAAUGGACCAAAAGUCCAUAAAGAAUGGGCCCAAAAGCUGGGCAGCUUUAUUGAUGGGCCAAUUAAAGGCCCAAAUUUUAAUUCUUCUUAUUCAUUUCCUUGUAAAUCCUAUUUUUUAGUAUUAAAUAACAUAAAUACCAACCCUUUUGAAAGUAA